UACGAAGGGGGCUAGCGUUGCUCGGAAUCACUGGGCGUAAAGGGUGCGUAGGCGGGUCUUUUAAGUCAGGGGUGAAAUCCUGGAGCUCAACUCCAGAACUGCCUUUGAUACUGAGGAUCUUGAGUUCGGGAGAGGUGAGUGGAACUGCGAGUGUAGAGGUGAAAUUCGUAGAUAUUCGCAAGAACACCAGUGGCGAAGGCGGCUCACUGGCCCGAUACUGACACUGAGGCACGAAAGCGUGGGGAGCAAACAGG
rnacentral:rRNA from 1 species